GAUGAACGCUGGCGGCGUGCCUAAUACAUGCAAGUCGAGCGAACAGACGAGGAGCUUGCUCCUCUGACGUUAGCGGCGGACGGGUGAGUAACACGUGGAUAACCUACCUAUAGGACUGGGAUAACUUCGGGAAACCGGAGCUAAUACCGGAUAAUAUAUUGAACCGCAUGGUUCAAUAGUGAAAGACGGUUUUGCUGUCACUUAUAGAUGGAUCCGCGCCGCAUUAGCUAGUUGGUAAGGUAACGGCUUACCAAGGCAACGAUGCGUAGCCGACCUGAGAGGGUGAUCGGCCACACUGGAACUGAGCCACGGUCAAGACUACUACGGGAGGCAGCAGUAGGGAAUGUUACGCAAUGGGCGAAAGCCUGACGGAGCAACGCCGCGUGAGUGAUGAAGGUCUUCGGAUCGUAAAACUCUGUUAUUAGGGAAGAACAAAUGUGUAAGUAACUAUGCACGUCUUGACGGUACCUAAUCAGAAAGCCACGGCUAACUACGUG
rnacentral:rRNA from 1 species